rnacentral:rRNA from 1 species
CGGGACUCUCACGAGGCCUCGUAAUCGGAAUGAGUACACUUUAAAUAUUUUAACGAGGAACAAUUGGAGGGCAAGUCUGGUGCCAGCAGCCGCGGUAAUUCCAGCUCCAAUAGCGUAUACUAAAUUUGUUGCGGUUAAAAAGCUCGUAGUUGCAUUUGUGCGCCGCGCUGUCGGUGCACCGCAUCCGCGGUGAUACUGACACGUCUGCGGAGCAUAUCGUCGGUGAGCCGCCGGUCAAACGGCGGUUCAAUAUCAAAAUCCUAUCGCGGUGCUCUUCAGUGAGUGUCGAGAUGGGCCGACAAUUUUACUUUGAACAAAUUAGAGUGCUCAAAGCGGGCUCAAAACGCUGCUUGAAUAUUUCGUGCAUGGAAUAAUAGAAUAUGAUCUCGGUUCUAUUUUGUUGGUUUUCAGAACUCCGAGGUAAUGAUUAAUAGGGAUAACUGGGGGCAUUCGUAUUGCGACGUUAGAGGUGAAAUUCUUGGAUCGUCGCAAGACGAACAUCAGCGAAAGCAUUUGCCAAAGGUGUUUUCAUCAAUCAAGAACGAAAGUUAGAGGUUCGAAGGCGAUUAGAUACCGCCCUAGUUCUAACCGUAAAUAUGUCAUCUAGCGAUCCGCCGACGUUACUCAAAUGGCUCGGCGGGCAGCUUCCGGGAAACCAAAGAUUUUGGACUCCGGGGGGAGUAUGGUUGCAAAGCUGAAACUUAAAGGAA